rnacentral:tRNA from 1 species
AGGAACUUAGCUCAGUUGGUAGAGCAGCGGAUUCCAAAUCCGCCGGUCUGGGGUUCAAGUCCUCAAGUUCCUGCCA